rnacentral:rRNA from 1 species
GAGAGAGACAUGCGCGCAUAUCAAUAAGCGGAGGAAAAGAAACUAACAAGGAUUCCCUUAGUAACGGCGAGUGAAGCGGGAAGAGCUCAAAUUUGAAAUCUUCAAGGUACUACCUUGACGAAUUGUAGUUUAUAGAAGUGUUUUCUGUUAGUGGAGUGGCAAAAGUUCUUUGGAAUAGGACAUCAUAGAGGGUGAGAAUCCCGUAUUUGGUCACUCCUCCUAGCGUUGUGAUACACUUUCAACGAGUCGGAUUGUUUGGGAAUGCAGUCCAAAAUGGGUGGUAAAUUUCAUCUAAAGCUAAAUAUUGGCGAGAGACCGAUAGCGAACAAGUACCGUGAGGGAAAGAUGAAAAGAACUUUGAAAGAGAGUUAAACAGUACGUGAAAUUGUCAAAAGGGAAGCGUUUGACACCAGUGUUGUUUUUCCGAAAAUCAAUUACGAAUGUUUUGUUUUUGAGGAGUUAUGACUUCAUCGGCUUGCUCCUUUCUUUACGAAACUUUCUUAAUGCACUUUUCGGUUAACAAGUCAACAUCAAUUUCUUUUGUUGUAAAAGGGUAUGAGGAAGGUGGCUUUCUUUUCGGAGAAAGUGUUUAUAGCCUUGUACCUCUGCAAUCGGAGAGAUUGAGGUCUGCAGCGUAGAUCCUUCGGGGUUAGAUACACUUGUGCUAAGCUAUAGCCUUGUAUAGACAACUUGUUGACUAUGCUCAGUCAUGUAGCUUACUCGCUUGUAUGUAUUUUACCUACGCUUAGGAUGUUGAUCUGUAGUGCGUGCGC